rnacentral:lncRNA from 1 species
AGCAGCGUAGCUGAACAUCUUACGGAUGGCCCAGGGCUCCAAAGGCUCGUUUCCUAAGUGAGAGAGAGCCUGGCUGAAGCUGUAUUACCAUUCAUUCUCCAGCCUCCGAAGUCUCAAAGCAUCACUUCCACCAUACUCUAACUGUCAAGACAAACACAAAGGCCCAGAAACUGCCAGACUGUCUUCUGAAGUGGCUAUAAUAUUUACACUCCCAUCAGCAGUGUAGAAGGGGUCUCACUAUGUUGUCUGGAGUGCUGUGGUGGAGUGGAGUGGCUAUUCACAGAGCCUGUUCUGCUGGGACACAGAAUCACUUGCUCCAUCUCAUACAUUGAUGAUGAUUAAUUUGUAUGUGUACCUUCCAAAAAAGAUGGUUGUGUUUGAAUGGAGGCCUUCUGGACAGGAAAAUAAUCACAUCCUUCCUGAGAUAAUGAGCACACAAUUGCCUGGAUACCUGAAGGAAUGGAGACAGCGGCAGAAAACACUGCAGAGAGGUGGAAACAUCCGUUAAUAUUUUAAAAUCCCAUUACUGCUACCAACAAUAAUAAUGGAUGCAUAGAAAUAGAUCUGGAUUAGCUGAGCUUGAAACAGUCCAUCUCACACACACACAAAAGAAUUUCAGAUACAGUGAACCCACAUGUUGAAGCUUUCUAGUAUAAUAAAAAUUUCAACUGUUCUGUUGAAUCAUCUGCCUGAUUGGAGGCUACAGAAAAGAUGUCAUCUUAGGAGUGCUUGCUCUGAGUGAGGCUCAUCUUCAAAUCUGAAUGACCACAAGGAGAUUUGAUUAUACAUGUGAACACCUCAGAAGGCACAGCCCACCCAGAAGGCAGACAGAAGAAGCUGCCAGGAAGACUGUGAAAUCUUCAUGCCCAAGGAUCCCUAAAAUUAGGAGCAACAACCACUUGGCUCAGACGGUUUAUGGAGGCAAAGGUUUGGAUGGGAUUAGAGAUUUCUAAAUGUGAGUUCGUGUCCUCUGCCAGACCACCUUACUUCCACCAUUCCUCAGCAAAUCAAGAAAAACAGGAGAAAAGACAUGCCUUUCCAUAAGUUAAAUCUAUUCUGUUUUAAUUCUAUAUUAUAUCUGCUGUACAACUUCUUUUGUUUGUAACACCAUAUUGUUGCUAGUAACUGGAAAUUAAUUUUCACAUGCCUCAGCUUAGAAAAAUAAAAAGCAGCCCUGCAUCAAUCCCAA